rnacentral:rRNA from 1 species
GACGAACGCUGGCGGCGUGCUUAACACAUGCAAGUCGAACGGAAAGGCCUGCUUUCCCUUGUGGAUUGCGGGUACUCGAGUGGCGAACGGGUGAGUAACACGUGAGUGAUCUGCCCCCAACUUGGGUAUAAGCCUGGGAAACUGGGUCUAAUUCCCGAUAGGACUGCAGGGUGGUGCCUGUGGUGGAACACGAUUUUCUAGUGGUUGGGGAUGAGCUCGCGGCCUAUCAGCUUGUUGGUGGGGUAAUGGCCUACCAAGGCGGCGACGGGUAGCCGGCCUGAGAGGGGGGACGGCGACACUGGGACAGGGUCACGGCCCAGACGCGAACGGGCAGCAGCGGUGGGGAAUAUAGGAGAGUGAGCGGAAGCCUGACGCAGCGACGCGGCGAGGGGGAUGACGGGCUUCGGGUGGUAAACUCCUUUCGAAGGCGAGGAAGCCACCUGGUUGGAAGGGUGGUGACGGUAGUGGUAGAAGAAGCACCGGCUAACUACGUG